rnacentral:misc_RNA from 1 species
AUCUCACUAAAUUUCUGAAUAGAAUCUGCAAGCAAGCUAAAUGAGGACCCUUCAUCGCGGUCCCUUCCAAACUUUCUUUUCUUGGGCGGAAGUCCAUCUGAGUCAUCCUCUACCUCAUCAGCUGCUUCCGAAUUGCCUGGACUGUCCCUCAUCUCAUCCAACCCAUUCGCACGGUUUAGAUAUACCUUAGGGCUCAUGAAAACAUACUCUCCUGAGUCCACCCCACAUGAAAGCCCGCCUUGCUGUGCAGAUGUUGACAUUAGCAUAUCCAUUUUCUUGAAAUAAACCCAUUUGCUACCACUGGCACCCACGUCUGCUAGAUUAAUCUUCUCCUUUUUAUACUUCUUUUUCAAUGUAUCCAAACGAUUCCUACAUUGCGUGUCAGUCCUCUCGAUCUUUGAUACCUCUGAUACCUUCUCAGCAACUUCCUGCCAUUCCUCAGAACGAAGACUCUUCCUCCCACGUUGCACAAAUUUAUCACCCCAAGCAUCCAGCAAAACAAAAGUUUCAUGCUCAGUCCAAUCAGUAAGUGGAUUACGCCCAGCAAAUGAGGGUUUUGGAGCUGAUGAGGCAGUAACAGGAGGUGCUGGGACACGAGGUGCAAAUUCAUAGCUUGAAACUAUGCUCUUUAGCUUUCGCAUCUUAGGAUGCCUUUCCAAAUCAACAUCAUUGAUCCUCCUACUAUAGUUCUUUUGAUUAUCCUCCUCAUCCUCUUCUUCAUCAACAUCUGCAUCCUCAUCAUCCUCAUCGUAGUCAUCAUCAUCCACUUCCUUUCCCACAUACUGGAUACCAUUAUUUUGAUUAUUCUCCCCAUCAUCCUCCCCCAACUCCUCUUCAUCUUCUCCUUCAUUCUCAUCUUCCUCGUCAUCAUCAACAUAUUGAUUGCCCACUGUCCUGGAAUAUGGAGAAUUCUUCACAGGAAGUUUUUGUCGAUUUG